UACGGAGGGGGCUAGCGUUGUUCGGAAUUACUGGGCGUAAAGCGCGCGUAGGCGGCUUUGCAAGUCAGAGGUGAAAGCCUGGAGCUCAACUCCAGAACUGCCUUUGAAACUGCAUCGCUAGAAUCAUGGAGAGGUUAGUGGAAUUCCGAGUGUAGAGGUGAAAUUCGUAGAUAUUCGGAAGAACACCAGUGGCGAAGGCGGCUCACUGGACUGGUAUUGACGCUGAGGUGCGAAAGCGUGGGGAGCAAACAGG
rnacentral:rRNA from 1 species